AGGACGAACGCUGGCGGCGUGCUUAACACAUGCAAGUCGAGCGAGGCCCUUCCUUCGGGAAGGUGCCCUAGCGGCGAACGGGUGAGUAACACGUGGGCAACCUGCCCCUAGCACUGGGAUAACUCCGGGAAAACCGGGGCUAAUACCGGAUAUGACCUCCGAGGGCAUCCUUGGUGGUGUAAAGGAUUCUGGCUAGGGAUGGGCCCGCGGCCUAUCAGCUUGUUGGUGGGGUAAUGGCCUACCAAGGCGACGACGGGUAGCCGGCCUGAGAGGGCGACCGGCCACACUGGGACUGAGACACGGCCCAGACUCCUACGGGAGGCAGCAGUGGGGAAUAUUGCACAAUGGGCGAAAGCCUGAUGCAGCGACGCCGCGUGAGGGAUGACGGCCUUCGGGUUGUAACCUCUUUCAGCAGGGACGAAGCGAAGUGACGGUACCUGCGAGAAGAAGCGACCCGGCCAACUACGCGCCAGCACGGCCGC
rnacentral:rRNA from 1 species